CUACGGGGUGCUGCAGUGGGGAAUAUUGGACAAUGGGGGAAACCCUGAUCCAGCAAUACCGCGUGGAGGAAGAAGGUUUUUGGAUUGUAAACUCCUGUCGUAGGGGAGGAAGUCUUAUUUCAAAAUAUGUCUUAAGAUUGACUGUACCCUAAGAGGAAGCACCGGCUAACUCCGUGCCAGCAGCCGCGGUAAUACGGAGGGUGCAAGCGUUGUUCGGAAUUACUGGGCGUAAAGUGGGUCUAGGCGGAAAGAUAAGUCAGGUGUGAAAGACCUCAGCUCAACUGAGGAAAUGCGCUUGAAACUAUUUUUCUUGAGAUAUGGAGAGGUGAGUAGAAUUCCUAGUGUAGCAGUGGAAUGCGUAGAUAUUAGGAGGAACACCAACGGCGAAAGCAGCUCACUGGCCAUAUUCUGACGCUAAAGCACGAAAGCGUGGGGAGCAAACAGGAUUAGAUACCCGAGUAGUC
rnacentral:rRNA from 1 species